rnacentral:rRNA from 1 species
AAUGCCGCGUGUGUGAAGAAGGCCUGCGGGUUGUAAAGCACUUUCAGUGGGGAAGAAAAGCCGAGGGUUAAUACCCCUAGGUCUUGACGUUACCCACAGAAGAAGCACCGGCUAACUCCGUGCCAGCAACUUCGGUGACUGAGCGGGCUGGCAAGGCGCAUA